ACAGGGGCGCUGGGAAACCGGCUGAGAUUGCGCAUCGCGCUUGUCCCUUAACCUGAUCCGGGUAAUGCCGGCGUAGGAAGCUGUU
rnacentral:ncRNA from 1 species